rnacentral:tRNA from 1 species
UGCUGGGUAGUUUAACGGUAGAACGGCGGACUAUAAACUGUAAAUGCGGGUUCGAUUCCCGUCUCAGCUAUAA